UCUGCUUCACGUCACUGACAACAGGAGCCAGUCAUCAGCGAGCGUGGGUGCUGAAUCCAAUGAUUUACUUUGGACCAGGAUCUUGUUGACACUUGUGGAGAGCAUGAGUACCUUGUGGGGGUAUUGGUGAUGGACAGCACUGUUGAACAAUCAUACACUUGGAGAAAACAUCGGGCAUGGGGCUAUCAGGAAUGGGACCCGUUCUCAGGGCCUCACAACCGGCUGUUCUUGAUAUCCCAAGGAUGUGGCCUGGAAGACCAGUGCGCCUUCAGGGUGCCGGAUUUUCGUGGCUCUGGAGAUGUGCUGAUUCUCGGCCGGUGCCCCGGACUGAAGUGCCGCGGGAGAACACAGAACAUCGGGAGUAGUGGGUUAGUUGCCAUAGGGUGUGUGUCCGGAAAGCUGUGUCUUUCUGGGGCCGACUCUCUGGGCACAGAGCUCGGAAAAAACGACACAACAGACUUCUAACAUUGUAAAUCAGCGAGUUGUUUUGUUAUGUCUCCCCUCUCGCUGUGAAAUGGGGACACCUCUUUUUCCUUAUUAGGGAGAGAGAGAUCCCGUGGUAUGUUGAAUUACCGGGUGAACGAGUAGUCUUUGGGGUACUGUGAGUCUGUGUCUUUAUUGAUUCCUUCUGCAUGCUUGAGUGCUCGAUGGAGGACGCUGAUGCUUUUUUGUUGGUGGGGGUGGUGGGAGUCGUUGCCUUGCUGCAGAUUGUGUAUGGGGGGCUUUGGAGUUCUAAAGUUUAACUGUCACUCAUUCUUUGUGGAUUUUGUGAUGAAAAGGAAUUUCAGGAUGUGUAGUUAAUAUAUUUCUCUGACAUUAUAUGUACCAAUUGAUCCUAUUGUAACGAUAAAAAUCUAAUGAAACUAAAACUAAUGAUAUAAUGAAAUAACGGUCUAAGCGUUAGUGAUCUUAGCGCUCUCUGUGCUUUUAAACAUAUUUAGGUGUGUUAAAGCAAUCAACAAAAGAAAAAAACCAUACUGGCUCUCAACUCUAACUCUAA